UUCUUACUUUCCUUUUCCUUUCUCCUUCCUCCCCCAUACUCACCUCCUUUUAGCUUUCAUUUGUGGUCUUGAGCUCCUCACGAGCACCUCCUCGCUGCCACCAUACCGCCGCCAUUCUACCACCACCUUGUUGCCAUCCCCUUCCUUGCGUUGCUCACCGAGGAAUUUCGGGUUCGAAAUUAGGAGCUCCGUAAUUGUGUUCAAAGAUCAAGAUAGGUGAUGGCGAUCGGACAACAUGAACUAUAUGCUGCAUUGGGAAUGAUGAGCGGUGAUCACCUAGUUUAAUUUAGUAUACAUAGUAUUAGUGGUGUAGCAACUUUGAAAGUGUAUCGAACUAUUAUUAUUACUAUUAUUAUUAAUGAAAGAUAAGUACUA